rnacentral:rRNA from 1 species
AUAACGCAUUAAUCAUUCAGCCUGCGGAGUACGGUCGCAAGAUUGAAACUAAAAGGAAUUGAUGGGGGCGCGCACCAGCGGUGGAGCAUGUGGUUUAAUUAGUAGCAACGAGCAGAACCACCCCAGCUCGUGACAUUCGGGGUAUGGGCAUUGGAGAAGAUGUCCUUCAGUUAGGGUGGCCCCAGAACAGGUGCUGCAUGGCGGUCGUCAGUUCGUGUCGUGAGAUGUUGGGUUAAGUCCCGCAACGAGCGCAACCCUCGCCCUUAGUUGCCAGCAUUUAGUUGGGCACUCUAAGGGGACUGCCGGUGAUAAGCCGAGGGGAAGGGGGGGAUGACGUCAAGUCUUCAUCCCCCUUACGGGGGGGGUAACACACGUGUCCAAAGGGUGGUGACAGUGGGCAGCGAGACAGCGAUGGAAAGAAUCUUAAUAAAAGCCAUCUCAGUUCGGAUUGCAGUCUGCAACUCGAGUGCAUGAAGUUGGAAUCGCUAGUAAUCGCAGAUCAGCAUGCGCGGUGAAUACGUUCCCGGGCCUUGUACACACCGCCCGUCACACCAUGGGAGUUGGUUUUACCCGAAGGUAGGCGCUAACCGCAAGG